ensembl:snoRNA
UUGCAGGCUGACCAGCAAGGUUGAGUCAUUGUGACUCUGUCCUUUCCUGUAAUGUCUGCUAGAGCGAUUUUUGAGGUGGUUUGAGGCCUGCUGCGGUGCCCUUCCCAGCAUGGUUAUAUAAUCUUCAAACAUUU